GGACCUCUAGAAAUGAAUGACGAGCUUUCCCUGUCCUUACUAUUCAUUAUUGUCCGGAAAAUUGUGGAAAAAGUGUGGCAAAAACAAGCAUAUUGUGACGAGCAUAAAUUGACAUGCACUUGCAGCUUGCAAGUGGGCACAUAAAGUCGACACAUAUCCAUCACCUACAGAAGUGCUUUGCAUUAUUGCUGAUACUAGCUACUGCCUUCUUUUAAUUGCUACUAUUUGGUUAUUCCUCCGUUCAAGGCUGGGGAUGGUUCACAUUCUACCUUGGGGAAGAGUUUUAAGUUUUUAAACAAAAUGCUUAUUCUUGAGAUGAUCAGAAAGGUUUGAUCAGGUUCCAUAUUUGCGGUCAUUGUCUAUAUCUUCUUGAAGAUUAGAGCACUUCUUUUAACAGUUUUCAGUAGCUGAAUAUCAAGGAUAUUACAGGGGACUGUGGCCAGCCUUUCCGGCAAAUCAGUUUGAAGAAUGCCUCUACGAAACACCUUCAAGGUGAGUGCUCUUGCAUUCCUUUAAGUUGUGUAUUUUUGUGCAAAUUAUGUAACCUAAAAAACCAUGUAGCACAACUGCACAGGGUUUAUAUCGGCCUGUUCCGUCUUAGUUUUUUUUUUUUGGGAAUAUGUAAUCCUUACAAGUACUUUUCCAUUCAUUUCCCCUUUUUUAGUUAGUUACUGAACUUCCCUGAUGCCAAGAGUGAUAUUUGGCUAAGUAAAUUGUUUCAUUUGAAAUUGCUCGACAUCCUUUCUUUCCUUUUUUUUUUCCCUUCUCUUUUUUAUUCUCCAGCUAGUACCUGAAUAUCAAUAAUUGUUUGUCUCUUGAAGAGGCAGGCAGGAGGCAGAUCCGUUUAAUACUUGAUUGACUUUUUCAAGUUUUUCUUUUCAUAUUUUAUUUUAGAGUUAUAACCUUUUUAACUUUAGUUGCUGUAGAUGUCUCCUACUUUUUUGUGUUUUCUACCAAUUCAUACCUUUUCUUAAGUUAAUUUUAGAAUGACAAUUCUUCCUUCCUUAAGCUCUCAGUUUCACCAUUGUAAAAAUCUAAAAGAAUUGUGUAAUUGAAUGCUUCAUACUUAAUCGGAGUAGGCAGCUGGUUAAUCUGCACCCUAAAAGCAUAUUUCAUGUUCUUCAAUUUUGAAUAUCCUAAACUUGCAAGUGAAAGGUACCUAAGAGUGCAAAUUCAUAAUCUUUUGGUAACUACUAUGUACUAGCGUAGCACUUUAAUGAGGCGUAGUUAACUUGGUUGCAUCAUACGAGAUUAACUUGGUUGCAUCAUACGAGUCCCUUCAGAUUAAUUUGGUUGCAUCAUACGAGAAUAAUUUUGGAUAUAGUCCUCCUCCUUUUUAGAUUUUUUUCGAAUAGAAAAUAUUUUAGUUUUAAAUGUUUCGACUUUUGAUCAAUUGAAUACGUUAAAUGUUUCGACUUUUGAUCAAUUUUGAAUAAUGUAAUUUGACAAUUGGCGAAAUAUUCUCAAGUCAAGUGGUCGAAAGUUAGAAAAGCAGAUUCGGUCUUCGAACAAAAACUCAAACAAUAAUUUAAUUGGUAAUUUGCGCAUCAUUCUUUUUUUUGUGGGCCGGUGUGACUACUUGUCUGAGAUUAAAAAACAGUCGAAAUGAAUGACGUAUUUUUUGGACAAAUUUGUUAGCUAAUAAUCUGUGAAGUUUCAUCUUCAUACCCUGAGGAUCUGGUACGCCAUAGAAAAGAAAGGAACUCUGAGCACUUGAGCUAGUAAAUUUCCACCAGAAAUAGAGGGAGACAUCAAGUAGCGUGGUGGAAAUCCUCCUGUUUAAAUGAUUCGCAAACUACCUUCUGCUAGGAUAAUAAAUAUCCGACCAAUUAACGGCAAUUCUCCAUUUUGAAGUUGGAUGGGUUUUCAACUUUAGGUUCUCUUUACUUUAGGCUCCAUGUCAAUACGAUGGAAAGAGUGCAACGUUUGCAAAUUUCGUUCUCUUUCUUUCUUCUCCUUCUUUUUCUUUAAUUUUAGAUCAAUGGAUCCUGGCACAAUUCUUAGUGUCGUAUCCUGGCACAUUCAAAUAAUUGCCAUAUUUUCACUUUAUUUAUGUUCCAAAAUAAGUGUCAUCAUUUGAAAUUUAACACAUGUUUUUCAAUCUUACCAUUUGAAAAAACAACUUUCUAAAAUUUCAAUACACAUCUAUUAAAAAAUAUUUUGAAUUCAAAGGAUACAUAUGUAAAUUCAUCAAUGCCACCUCAUUUAAGUAUAAUGAUAACUAUGUCUCCCUAAAAAGUUGGAUUCUUAAAAAACGACUCUAAUAUUGGGAUGGAUGGAGUAAUACACUUUUCAUGUACUUCAACUCAUUGCUCACCUCCUUUUAUUGUACGAGUUUAUAGGGAUAAUUUCCAAACCUCCCUUGACGUUUUUUUCAUAAUAAUAUCACUUAGCUCCUCUUAGAUUUUCAAUACUAUCCUUACUUUAUUUUACCUAUCAAACUUACAACAAUAAUAAAAAUUAAAACAAGGUUUAAAAGUAAAAAGACAAAAAUAUGGGUAGUUAUAAAUGCAAUAACGAGUAAUUUUAUAGAUAUACAACAACUAUUAUCUAGUCCAAAAAAAUAUAUAUUAAUUUUUUGAUUAAUUUUUUUAAUUUUGACUUAUUUAUAAAUUUUUUUUCUAUGAGUAGGAUUUAUUUACAAAUCACAAGUAUGAAGAGAUUAUUUUAAUUUUCAAUACACCUUAAACUGCAUCAUAUAUUAAACUAUAGUUCCUAAAAGAAUUUCUAAUUUUUUUUAAAAAUUCUAACUUAUUUAUAAAAUUCUUUAUAUAAGUAGGAUUUAUAUUGCAUAUCACAAAUUUGAAGAUAUAAGUUUAAUUUUCAGUACAACUUAAACUACAUUAUGUAUUAAAAUAUAAUUCUUAAAAAAAUUUUCUUAACUUCUUUAUAAUUGUUUACAAAAUUUUUCAAAGUAUUGAUUACUUAUCAAAAUCUUUUUAAGUGGUUGACUUUGAUUAGAUUUAAUUUACCUAUGUUCUUUGCUAUCUUACUACCACCACGAUACAGAAAAAUAUGAACAAAUAUUAGAUAACGAUUGAUUUUUUUUAUCUACAUUUUUGGUUUAAAAACUAUAUUUUAUUUUGAAUUUUUGGUUAAAUAGUUAUUAAGAGUGCAAGUGUAAAAUUCUCAAUUUAUGACAUUUGAUAGGAAUAUUGAAUCUUGUCAACCUGAUGGGUGAGGUAAAUAAAAUUUUAAAAAUUUUAAGAGAGUUAAGUAAUAUUAUAGAAAACCUGAGGGGACAUUUCCAAAAUUAUCCCGGAUCUAUAGUCAGGGACUCAGGAUGGAGAGGUGAGGAAGCAGUCAAAUUUUGGAUGGCACUGGAUAUCUUAUCUUCCGACAAGGCGACAAAGACCCCCGGAGCAAAUCCAAAAGAAAAUUUUAUACGGUCAUCAUCUUGAUAUGGCUUUUCCUUCCAAUGAGGAGGCGUCGGAUUACCACUUAACAAGCACGGAGGUGGAACUUGCUGAGGUUAGCGGACUUUGAAGGGUGUGAAGUGCAUGGCUUCCAUUUUACUUAGUAUUGUUCGGGAGAGGCUGCCGGUGACUUUGGGCUAGUCUUUUAGUGUUUCCUCCAUUGAUGAAGACCUCCAUUUCUAAAUCUAGCCUCGUCAAACGUUCUUCUAUAAUCAUCCGAUCCUGGCAGAUGCAAAAGAGAUCUGAUCAACUGGAUCGCAGGUCAACGCAGCUUUUAGGCAUCGAUAUGGAUCUGGAUCGAUCUCUAACAGCUGUCCUCUGGAAUCUAGCACGCUUUCUGUUGACUUAUGUCGAGGGUUAGAUACAUGUGCAACAUUUUAUGUGUUUGAAACGGUGCUCCAAAUGGAUGUGUUGGAGAAAAAAUUGAUGUUGUUAAAUCCCAUAUCCACCUUUGUGGUGUUUGGUGCAGCAUCUGGAGAUAUCAAGCUAUCGGGAGGGAUGAUGCAGGGUUUCGUCGAAUGGAACCUUCCUUCCUUCCUCCUAAAUUUAGCCUGCAUCGUUAAACGUUACUCGUUGCAGUACUAUAUAAUUACCGGAUUUCGGCAGAUGCGGAAGAGAUAGGAUCGACGGAAGAUUUAGUCUCAUCUACGAAAUUUGUUAUGUACUUUAAACUUUCGGCUGAACACAACUUAGGUAUUUGGAUCCGACUCCUCUGGAAGCAUGCACGUUUUCUCUUGAGUCAUCUAGCAUGCAUAGGUUUUGCGUUAUCAAUUAUUUUGAAGAGGAGUGAGUUCUUAUCUUUUCGGAUGGAUCACCAAUGAUGAGCUCCUUAGGAUGAUUUUGAACAAACUUUCAAAUUUUUGGAAGAUUCCUAGGUGCAUCAUCAUGAUUGUUAUUUUCUUCUAAUGCUUGAUUGUCUUGAAAAUCAUCUUUCUUUGAGCUCUCUUUUUGUGGAGCAUUAUUUUGAUCA